rnacentral:tRNA from 1 species
AUAGUGGUGGAAUUGGUUGACGCGUCCCGAUUCUAAAUCGGGAUAAGAGCAAUCUCGUGUGGGUUCGAUUCCCACCUUCGGUAC